GUCCAACUGGUUCCAAGAGAAGCAGCAAACCACCUCUCCCAAACAAUGAGGGGACCAGUUUCCAGAGUGUUGGUGACAAAGCCCCUUGUGCAGCCCGGAAGUCACCUGUGGUGUCACUGGAGAAACAUGUGUUGCAGCCACAGCCACGGAGACCUGUGCAAGAGAAAUGCUUCGUGCAAUCACCCCUGGAGGAGACAGCUGUUAACAGGCAGUCUGAACCUGGGCAUUUCCUAGAAAAUAUGCAGCAUAUCGACCAAGAUGAUGCAGGAAUCUUUCCUUCCCCGUCACCUGCAGUGAAAGAGCCCUCCUAUCCCAGAGUUUCUCUUGACAGUGUCAUAAAAAAA